rnacentral:rRNA from 1 species
ACAAGCGGUGGAGCAUGUGGUUAAUUCGAAGCAACGCGAAGAACCUUACCAGGCCUUGACAUGCAGAGAACUUUCCAGAGAUGGAUUGGUGCCUUCGGGAACUCUGACACAGGUGCUGCAUGGCUGUCGUCAGCUCGUGUCGUGAGGAUGUUGGGUUAAGUCCCGUAACGAGCGCAACCCUUGUCCUUAGUUACCAGCACGUUAUGGUGGGCACUCUAAGGAGACUGCCGGUGACAAACCGGAGGAAGGUGGGGAUGACGUCAAGUCAUCAUGGCCCUUACGGCCUGGGCUACACACGUGCUACAAUGGUCGGUACAAAGGGUUGCCAAGCCGCGAGGUGGAGCUAAUCCCAUAAAACCGAUCGUAGUCCGGAUCGCAGUCUGCAACUCGACUGCGUGAAGUCGGAAUCGCUAGUAAUCGUGAAUCAGAAUGUCGCGGUGAAUACGUUCCCGGGCCUU